CUUGAGACACAGUUUUGCUCUUGUUGCCCAGGGUGGAGUGCAAUGGGGCAAUCUCGGCUCACCACAACCUCUGCCACCUGGAUUCAAGCAAUUCUCCUGCCUCAGCCUCCAGAAUAGCUGGGAUUGCAGGGAUGCACCACCACGCCCAGCUAAAUGCUUAUUAGCAUAAUAUCUGAGACAUUAGGUACUAUUUGAUAGUUAUUUUUACUUUAUUAUUUUCAGACCAUGAGGAUGUGCUUGUCUUCAAGAUCACAUUUAUUUUACGGUCACUUUCUGCUAGCAGCUUUAAGGCUAUUAUCCCUUUUAAUUUUCACAGUGGACCUGGAAGCAGCAUGUAUCGUUAGGAUUGAAGAAGCCUUUCCCACAUCAAUCAAUUCUCUAUUUUGGAGUCAAGGACCUUGAGGUUCUGAGAGGUUAAGUGGCUUAUAAAUAAUGAGGUGUCCACAUUAAGACUCCAGCACAAGGCUAUCUAGUUGCACACUGUCUCAACAGCACUGGGCAAGGCAGUAAACAGUGAGCUUGGUAUCUGAGCCAGACAAGUGUAUCUUGGUACAGGACAGAGGGCAGUGCCAUCCUUUCCACUGCUGACUCCACUAUGUGUCUGCACACAGCCAACUCUCCAGCCAGAGUGACAGCGCGGCCCCGUGCGCACCGGCCAGAGUGACGGCAUGGCCUCGUGCCCACCGGCCAGAGUGAUGGCAUGGCCCCAUGCCCACCAGAGGCUGCUGCUUGUUUUGGGCUCAGCAUCUCAGCAUCUCGUGCCCUCUCACCUUCUCCAUGCCUCUGCUCUUGCCAUCGUGUGUCUCUGUCUCUUUCUUUUCCUCCUGCAUCAUUAGCUUUGCCCAUUAUUCAUUUCUAAUAGCAUAGAGACAUGCUCUACUAUCUCCUAACUUAAAAUCUUCUGCUGGGCACGGUGGCUCACGCCUGUAAUCCCAAAACUUUGGGAGGCUGAGGUGGGCAGAUCGCCUGAGGUCAGGAGUUGGAGACCAGCCUGGCCAACAUGGCGAAACCCUGUCCCUACUAAAAAUACAAAAAUUAGCUGGGCGAGGUGGCCAGUGCCUGUAAUCCCAGCUACUCGGGAGGCUGAGGCAGGAGAAUCGCUUGAACCUGGGAGGCAGAGGUUGCAGUGAGUGGCGAUUGCGCUGCUGCACUCCAGCCUGGGGCACAGAGUGAGAUUUUGUCUCGGAAAACAAAAAACAAACAAAAAAAAACCUCCCUUGGGCCCACAUUGUCUACCCGCUGUUGUUCCUUCUCUGAAUACCCUUCAUAGCAAAACUAGGUCAAACCCAAGCUGUAGAGAAACGGGAGGCCUCACUUGAAAGCACUGGAGACCAGCACUGCAGAAGGGCCUGGAACACUGGCUUCCGCUGUGUGGGCUUUAUCCUGUGGGGACAGAAGAGCCAUUGGAGGGUUUUGGGCAGAGAAGUAGUGUGAUUCUUCUGGAGCUGAGAAAACUGCCUGGGAUGGCUGGCAUGGUGGGUGUGCCGUGGAGUCCAGGCUGGAGCCAAGUGGGAGUCAUCUUGACAAGCAAUGACCUGUCCUGUCCUGUCCUCUCACACUGCAUUUGGAUCCAAAGGAACAGGUUUCACAGGAAUUGCAGAAUCAGUCUGUGACACGCAUGCUUGAGGCUCCCAGAAGCGAGGGCAAGAGAGCUGUUAAAACCCCUGUGGUGCAAGAAUGACGUAAUGGAAUUUGGGAACUUGGAGGGGAAGCUUGGGAGGGCGGUGGGGGAUAAAAGGGUGAUACUGGGUACAGUGUACACUGCUCAGGUGACGGGUGCACUAACAUUAAGAAAUCACCACCGAAGAACUUAUCCGUGGAACCAGAAACCACCUGUACCCCAAAGACACUGAAAUACGAAUUUAAAAAAAACAGUUGCGGCGAACCCAUGGAAAAACAGAGGAAACUGGCCAGGAGGAGGAGCCUGUGUGUGGGAAUAAAUUCCAUUGUGAUUUUUGAAUUUCUACACAUUUAAGGUAGGGAUGUCUAACAGGCAGUGGGAAAAUUAGAUGCAAGAAUGGGGCUGGAGACCUGGGUUUGAGAGUCUCUUCCUUGCAGAUAAUGGCAGAAGCCGUGGAGUAGAUCAGCACACCCAAGGAGAAUGCGUAGGAAGAAGGUCUGGAACAGAAGACAGCCCCGAGGAGGAGGGGUAGAGGAGCGGGAGGAGCAGGGGAGGAGGAGGAAGAGGACAUACUUGGGCGGGCUCACACUGCAAUUACAGUUCCCCUGUAUGGGGAGGAUUUGGGAUGGGAAGCGCGCACUCUGGGUCAAGGCGUAAAAGUACUCAAUCCUUAUCUGCCACAGUGGAAAGUCCCACAGAUAAUGUUCAAAGCUGGAAAAUCAAGAGGCAGCAAUAAAAACAUGUUGGUUAGAAAUAUGGAGAGUUACAAAACCCAGCUGGAAGAGUUAA
rnacentral:lncRNA from 1 species